GAAAGCAGCAGCACACCCGAUGCAGGGCUUGAACUCACAAACUGUGAGAUCAUGACCUGAGCUAAAGUCAGAUGCCCAACCGACUGAGCCCUCCAGGUGUCCCUAGAAAUGCUUUUAAAGGAAUAGAGAAGUUAAGAUUUUGGAAACGUGGGAGGGGAGAUUUAGGGAAACAAAUUUGUAGAGACAAAGAAAAAACUCAAAAAAGCAAUCCAUGCCCAAAAUGGCAAUUUUGAAAGAAUACCAGUGAACAGUUGGCCAAGAAAAGUCAUUAGUCAUGGAUUAUUGAGUUGUAAGGAACAGAACCCGCUCAUACUAGCUCAAGAGAAGUGCUUAUCAGAACACAGGGGUGUCUCACAGCACCCACAGUGGGGCGAGGGAAGGACUGGAUCCAGAAACUUGAGUUUAAAACCAAGUUCCUCUCUUCAUCUUAUAGAACCUACAAUUGUUCUUUCAAUUGCAGACAUUGCUGUUCUAGGCUUUGAGGAUGCAACUGUAAAUAAAACCGACUUUACCCUGGGGAAGAUGCGGAAGUGGAGGGCACUAAAUCCAUAUGAAGAGAGAGAGCCAGGAUUCAGAACUAAGGGCGUCCAUCCCCUGACCCUGCGUCUUUCACUGGGAGUAUACCCUGGCUCCCUGGAAAAGAGUGUCUCACAGGCAGAAGCAAGUGCCAUUGCUGCAGCCGUACAAAGAAGCCUCUCCUACAAACUGUUCUGGAGGCUGGAAGUCUGAAAACAAGAUGUCGGGAGUGCUGCACACCUUCUAAAGAUUCUGAGGGAAUAUCUUUCUUUGACUCUUCACCCCAUCAGUGAAACAGAAGUAGAGGUGCAUUCAGGCCAUGUGUGUAAUUUUGGGAUCAGCUUUCUGUAAUGAAACUGGGAGCAAAUCCCAGAUAAGAGCCCCAACUGUUUCAGAAGAACAUUGCAAAGCCCAGCGGUCCCGACCAAGUUGUCACACACAGAGCAGAACUAUCGAUGAGAGCCAUACAACAUCUGUUGCCCAGGUAACCAUCAAUCCACUAAGCCAGGCCUGAGUCAUAAAUGGCAUGAAGAGGUCUGCUAGCAUGGAAGGCAGUAUAAACUCUUCUCGACCUUUCUCCACCUCCAGAUAUGGCCCACAGCUGCCAUACAAGGUUAAUAGAAACCUACACUCAGACCCCUAAAGACCUAAAAGACCUCUUUUUUUCCUAGCCUUCAUUCCAAGAUUCCUGGACCUCCAUUAGUCUUAUCACAAAACCUCCCCAGAUUUUUUUCAGUGUUUAGCACAUUACCAGUGCUAAGCAACACUACUCAAAAUUCCAGCCUGCUGAUUGGUACGACAUUGUUCACCCCCCAUCGUCUGGCCCCCAGCCUGCAUUUUGAGUAGCACUGAACUAGAGCACCUAUUCCUCAGGAGCACUGUGGCAGCCCACCAGGGCUCACACACUUAUCGUGACUUUCACUUUCACUUGGAACUGUUGGGAUGGGAGAACCAUAUGGGUCUCCUUUCACGUGCCCCAUCACAUCCAAGAUGCUACACACCAAUUCAGAAAGAAAAAUGAAUAAAUGUGUCUUUGCCGAGUAACUAGAUCUGGCUGUCUAAAAACAUUCCUAGGUAUAUUUCCAAAAGAAUUGAGAAUAGGUGUUCAAACAAAAUCUUGUACACAAAUGUUCAUAGAAGCACUGUUUUCCAUAGCUAAAAGAUAAAAACAACCCAAAUGUCCAUCAGUGAAUGAAUAGAUUAACAAAGUGUGGUAUAUUCAUAC